AGCGAACGCUGGCGGCAGGCCUAACACAUGCAAGUCGAACGAACCCUUCGGGGUUAGUGGCGGACGGGUGAGUAACGCGUGGGAACGUUCCUUUAGGUUCGGAAUAACUCAGGGAAACUUGUUCUAAUACCGAAUGUGCCCUUAGGGGGAAAGAUUUAUCGCCUUUAGAGCGGCCCGCGUCUGAUUAGCUAGUUGGUGAGGUAAAGGCUCACCAAGGCUACGAUCAGUAGCUGGUCUGAGAGGAUGACCAGCCACAUUGGGACUGAGACACGGCCCAAACUCCUACGGGAGGCAGCAGUGGGGAAUCUUGCGCAAUGGGCGAAAGCCUGACGCAGCCAUGCCGCGUGGAUGAUGAAGGUCUUAGGAUUGUAAAAUCCUUUCACCGGUGAAGAUAAUGACUGUAGCCGGAGAAGAAGCCCCGGCUAACUUCGUGCCAGCAGCCGCCGUAAUAC
rnacentral:rRNA from 1 species